AGCGAACGCUGGCGGCAGGCCUAACACAUGCAAGUCGAACGAAGUCUUCGGACUUAGUGGCGGACGGGUGAGUAACACGUGGGAACGUGCCUUUAGGUUCGGAAUAACUCAGGGAAACUUGUGCUAAUACCGAAUGUGCCCUUCGGGGGAAAGAUUUAUCGCCUUUAGAGCGGCCCGCGUCUGAUUAGCUAGUUGGUGGGGUAAUGGCCCACCAAGGCUACGAUCAGUAGCUGGUCUGAGAGGAUGACCAGCCACGUUGGGACUGAGACACGGCCCAAACUCCGCCGGGAGGCAGCAGUGGGGAAUCUUGCGCAAUGGGCGAAAGCCUGACGCAGCCAUGCCGCGUGGAUGAUGAAGGUCUUAGGAUUGUAAAAUCCUUUCACCGGUGAAGAUAAUGACUGUAGCCGGAGAAGAAGCCCCGGCUAACUUCGUGCCAGCCGCCGCCGUAACAC
rnacentral:rRNA from 1 species